rnacentral:rRNA from 1 species
CCUACGGGCGGCAGCAGUGGGGAAUAUUGCACAAUGGGCGAAAGCCUGAUGCAGCAACGCCGCGUGAGCGAUGAAGGCCUUCGGGUCGUAAAGCUCUGUCCUCAAGGAAGAUAAUGACGGUACUUGAGGAGGAAGCCCCGUCUAACUACGUACCAGCAGCCGCGGUAAUACGUAGGGGGCUAGCGUUAUCCGGAAUUACUGGGCGUAAGGGGUGCGUAGGUGGUUUCUUAAGUCAGAGGUGAACGGUUACGGCUAAACCGUAGUAAGCCUUUGAAACUGGGGAACUUGAGUGCAGGAGAGGAGGGUGGAAUUCGUAGUGUAGCGGUGAAAUGCGUAGAUAUGAGGAAGAACCCCAGUUGCGAAGGCGGCUCUCUGGACUGUGACUGACACUGAGGCACGAAAGUGUGGGGAGCAAACAGGAUUAGAUACCCGAGUAGUC